rnacentral:misc_RNA from 1 species
GAAAUGCGAUAAGUAAUGUGAAUUGCAGAAUUCGGUGAAUCAUCGAAUCUUUGAACGCACCUUGCGCUCCUUGGUAUUCCUUGGAGCAUGCCUGUUUGAGUAUCAUGAAAUCUUCAAAGUAAAUCUUUUGUUAACUCAAUUGGUUUCUACUUUGGUAUUGGAGGUCUUUGCAGCUUCACACCUGCUCCUCUUUGUUCAUUAGCUGGAUCUCAGUGUUAUGCUUGGUUCCACUCGGCGUGAUAAGUUAUCUAUCGCUGAGGACACUGUAAAAGGUGGCCAAGGUAAAUGCAGAUGAACCGCUUCUAAUAGUCCAUUGACUUGGACAAUACUUUUAUGAUCUGAUCUCAAAUCAGGUAGGACUACCCGCUGAACUUAAGA